rnacentral:sRNA from 1 species
GUUUAGUUUUUUGGAACAGGUGACAUGUUUUAUAGAUGAUAGCUUGCAUAGUUGAUUUAACUUUAUUAUAAAUUAAACGCAGAGGUUGCUUCAGAUGCAGAGCCUGAUCUCCAUUAUCAAGGAUGCUAAAGAAAUCUCCUACCUCACUCAAACCAGCUCGAUAGGUAGAUGUGUUUAUGAUAAAUGAUAUAACAUGAUUCCUAUGAUAUAGUAUUGUAUGAUAUGAAACAAUAUUGUUUGAUAUGAUACAAUAUGAUAUCAUAUGUUAUAUUAUAAAAAGUUAUACGAUACGAUAUGAUAUUGUAUCAAUUUUUUUGAUAUUUUAUGUUAUGAUAUUGUAUCAUGAUAUUGUUAUGUAUAGUAUUGUAUAUUAUGAUACAAUAUAGUAUAUAUUAUAUUGU